GACGAACGCUGGCGGCGUGCUUAACACAUGCAAGUCGAACGGAAAGGCCCUGCUUUUGUGGGGUGCUCGAGUGGCGAACGGGUGAGUAACACGUGAGUAACCUGCCCUUGACUUUGGGAUAACUUCAGGAAACUGGGGCUAAUACCGGAUAGGAGCUCCUGCUGCAUGGUGGGGGUUGGAAAGUUUCGGCGGUUGGGGAUGGACUCGCGGCUUAUCAGCUUGUUGGUGGGGUAGUGGCUUACCAAGGCUUUGACGGGUAGCCGGCCUGAGAGGGUGACCGGCCACAUUGGGACUGAGAUACGGCCCAGACUCCUACGGGAGGCAGAAGUGGGGAAUAUUGCACCAUGGGCGGAAGCCUGAUGCAGCAACGCCGCGUGCGGGAUGACGGCCUUCGGGUUGUAAACCGCUUUCGCCUGUGACGAAGCGUGAGUGACGGUAAUGGGUAAAGAAGCACCGGCUAACUACGUG
rnacentral:rRNA from 1 species